GAAUUUUCAGUAAACUGAAAGGGAGUUUCUUGAAAGAGGGAGAAGAGUGUUUAUGUAUUGCCUGGGAAGAAACUCCCAGAAGGAGGAGAGAGAUGGCUUCUUCUCAGCAUCCAUUGACGUUCAAGGAUGUGUUCAUAGAAUUCUCCCAGGAGGAGUGGGAAUGCCUAGAUUCUGCUCAGAGGGCUUUGUACAGGGAGUUGAUGUUGGAGAACUACAACAAUCUGGUGUCUAUAGGUCUUGUGAUGUGUAAGCCUGUUCUGGUCUCCUGUCUGGAGCAAAGCAAAGAGCCCUGG